GACGAACGCUGGCGGCGUGCCUAAUACAUGCAAGUUGAGCGCUGAAGGUUGGUACUUGUACCAACUGGAUGAGCAGCGAACGGGUGAGUAACGCGUGGGGAGUCCGCCUUUGAGCGGGGGACAACAUUUGGAAACGAAUGCUAAUACCGCAUAAAAACUUUAAACACAAGUUUUAAGUUUGAAAGAUGCAAUUGCAUCACUCAAAGAUGAUCCCGCGUUGUAUUAGCUAGUUGGUGAGGUAAAGGCUCACCAAGGCGAUGAUACAUAGCCGACCUGAGAGGGUGGUCGGCCACAUUGGGACUGAGACACGGCCCAAACUCCUACGGGAGGCAGCAGUAGGGAAUCUUCGGCAAUAGACGAAAGUCUGACCGAGCAACGCCGCGUGAGUGAAGAAGGUUUUCGGAUCGUAAAACUCUGUUGGUAGAGAAGAACGUUGGUGAGAGUGGAAAGCUCAUCAAGUGACGGUAACUACCCAGAAAGGGACGGCUAACUACGUG
rnacentral:rRNA from 1 species